rnacentral:ribozyme from 13 species
AGAUAAAUUCGAAGAAAAAAACAAAACUAAAUGAAAUUGAAUAAAAUGUCUUGUUCUUUCUUUUUUUUUAUUUUUUUUUCCCAAAUCUUUUUCUUCUC